UUCCGGUUGAUCCUGCCGGACCCCACUGCUAUCGAGAUGGGACUAAGGUAUGCUAGUCGAACGACCAGAACUAUGUCUGGAAGUGGCACACUGCUCAGUAACACGUAGCUAACCUACCCUUAGGACGUGGAUACCCCCGAGAAAUUGGGGUUAAUCCGCGAUAGGUGUAAUGUCCUGGAAUGGUAUUACGCCUAAAGGUGUAUCAUACAUGUUUGAUAUACGCCUAAGGAUGGGGCUGCGGCCGAUCAGGCUGUUGGUGAGGUAAUGGCUCACCAAACCUUUGACCGGUACGGGCCAUGAGAGUGGUAGCCCGGAGAUGGACACUGAGACAAGGGUCCAGGCCCUAAGGGGCGCAGCAACCGCGAAACCUCCACAAUGCACUCACGUGCGAUGGGGCCAUCUCGAGUGCCACCUGAUGAAGGUGGCUUUUCCUUGGUCUUCAAAGCCUUGGGAAUAAGAGGGGGGCAAGACUGGUGUCAGCCGCCGCGGUAACACCAGCCCCUCGAGUGGUGGGGAUGAUUAUUUGGCCUAAAGCGUCCGUAGCCGGCCGUGAAAGUCUUCCGUUAAAUCCAGCGUCUCAAGCGUUGGACCGCGGGAGAUACUACAUGGCUAGAGAGUGGGAGAGGUCAGCGGUAUUCUGGGGGUAGGGGCGAAAUCCUUUGAUCCCCGGAGGACCACCAGUGGCGAAGGCUGCUGACUAGAACACGUCUGACGGUCAGGGACGAAAGCUGGGGUAGCGAACCGGAUUAGAUACCCGGGUAGUCCCAGCCGUAAACGAUGCAUGCUAGGUGUUGGGUUGGCCACGAGCCACCCCAGUGCCGCAGGGAAGCCGUUAAGCAUGCCGCCUGGAAGUACGAUCGCAAGAU
rnacentral:rRNA from 1 species